rnacentral:misc_RNA from 1 species
UACGAGUGCCCCAAGCGUUAUCCGGAAUUACUGGGCGUAAAGGGUGUGUAGGUGGUCAUGUUAGUUUUCUGUUAAAUUCUUCGGCUUAACCGGGGGCUUGCGGGGAAUACGGCAUGACUCGAGGGUGCGAGAGGCAUAUGGAACUCUAGGUGUAGGGGUGAAAUCCGUUGAUAUCUAGGGGAACACCAAAAGCGAAGGCAAUAUGCUGGCGCAUUUCUGACACUGAAACACGAAAGCGUGGGUAGCGAAUGGG